CCUACGUGGGUCAGCAGUGAGGAAUAUUGGUCAAUGGGCGCUAGCCUGAACCAGCCAAGUAGCGUGAAGGAUGACUGCCCUAUGGGUUGUAAACUUCUUUUAUAUGGGUAUAAAGUGCAGUAUGUAUACUGCUUUGCAUGUACCUUAUGAAUAAGGAUCGGCUAACUCCGUGCCAGCAGCCGCGGUAAUACGGAGGAUUCGAGCGUUAUCCGGAUUUCUUGGGUUUAAAGGGAGCGAGGGCGGGUUGUGAAGUCAGUGGUGAAAGUUUGCGGAUCAACCCCGGCCGGCCGUUGAGACUGGGGAUCGUGAGUGGGCGAGAAGUAUGCGGAAUGCGUGGUGUAGCGGUGAAAUGCAUAGAGAUCACGAAGAACUCCGAUUGCGAAGGCAGCAUACCGGCGCCCGACUGACGCUGAGGCACGAAAGCGUGGGGAUCGAACAGGAUUAGAUACCCCGGUAGUC
rnacentral:rRNA from 1 species